rnacentral:rRNA from 1 species
AACGAACGCUGGCGGCAGGCUUAACACAUGCAAGUCGAACGCCCCGCAAGGGGAGUGGCAGACGGGUGAGUAACGCGUGGGAGUCUACCCAACCCUGCGGAAUAGCUCUGGGAAACUGGAAUUAAUACCGCAUACGCCCUACGGGGGAAAGAUUUAUCGGGGAUGGAUGAGCCCGCGUUGGAUUAGCUAGUUGGUGGGGUAAAGGCCUACCAAGGCGACGAUCCAUAGCUGGUCUGAGAGGAUGAUCAGCCACAUUGGGACUGAGACACGGCCCAAACUCCUACGGGAGGCAGCAGUGGGGAAUAUUGGACAAUGGGCGCAAGCCUGAUCCAGCCAUGCCGCGUGAGUGAUGAAGGCCUUAGGGUUGUAAAGCUCUUUCACCGGUGAAGAUAAUGACGGUAACCGGAGAAGAAGCCCCGGCUAACUUCGUGCCAGCCGCCGCGGUAAGAC